UACGUAGGGUCCGAGCGUUGUCCGGAAUUAUUGGGCGUAAAGAGCUCGUAGGCGGUUUGUCGCGUCUGCUGUGAAAUCCCGAGGCUCAACCUCGGGUCUGCAGUGGGUACGGGCAGACUGGAGUGCGGUAGGGGAGAAUGGAAUUCCUGGUGUAGCGGUGGAAUGCGCAGAUAUCAGGAGGAACACCAAUAGCGAAGGCAGCUCGCUGGGACGUUACUGACGCUGAGGCGCGAAAGCGUGGGGAGCGAACAGG
rnacentral:rRNA from 1 species